rnacentral:snRNA from 1 species
UGGAAAACUCAACUGCAGAAUUGGUUGUGGUGGGGGAUUCACUAGCGCU